rnacentral:lncRNA from 1 species
GGCCAACCAGGAUGCGCCGCGUGGCAAGGAAACGCUGACUAGGGGACGGGCCACAUGGGCGAUCCGCGUGCGCGCGAUCGGACAGCCAAGAUCCGUUCCCGCGCGCACGAACAACCCAGAUCAAACAUGCGCACGGACAGCCCAGAUUCACGCGCACGGACGGCCCAGAUUCAAUCAGGCACAGAUGGCCCAUAUUACAUCGCGAUGGACG